rnacentral:rRNA from 1 species
UGGCGGACGGGUGAGUAACACGUGGGUAACCUACCCCAUAAACUGGGACAACAGUUGGAAACGACUGCUAAUACCGGAUAUUCUCGGAAGAAGGCAUCUUUUUUCGAGGAAAGGUGGCCUCUGAUUCAAGCUAUCGAUAUGGGAUGGACCCGCGUCUGAUUAGCUAGUUGGUAGGGUAACGGCCCACCAAGGCGACGAUCAGUAGCCGGCCUGAGAGGGUGACCGGCCACAUUGGGACUGAGACACGGCCCAAACUCCUACGGGAGGCAGCAGUGGGGAAUCUUCCGCAAUGGGCGCAAGCCUGACGGAGCAACGCCGCGUGAAUGAAGAAGGUCUUCGGAUCGUAAAGUUCUGUCUUUAGGGAAGAAGUCUCAUCUUGUGAAUAAUGAGGUGAGGUGACGGUACCUUAGGAGGAAGCUCCGGCUAACUACGUGCCAGCAGCCGCGGUAAUACGUAGGGAGCGAGCGUUGUCCGGAAUUACUGGGCGUAAAGGGCGCGUAGGCGGGAACUUAAGUUAGGUGUGAAAACUUUGGGCUCAACCCAAAGACUGCACUUAAAACUGGGUUUCUUGAGGG